GUGAACAUAAUCUUGAGCUCAGUGAUCUCUUCUCAUGUGAGGUCAGUAAUCCGUUUUCAGGUUACGAUGACAGAUCUUACUCUCUGGUCGUGGCAACCCCGUUCCACCUAAAAAUGGAGAAUGUCAAUAAGCUUCACAUACCGUUAGGACCUCCUACCAAUCCUGGUACACCUCCUGCUCCCAAGACACCUCCAGAUCCGGGUAAACCUGUCAAGCACUACCAGGAAGUCCUGGUCCAGCAAAUCCAGACCAGGGACCUCCUACAGUCCCUGGACCAUAACCACCAACUGGUCCUGCCCCCAUGCCAAAUCCUCCUGCUGGACCGGUUCCUACCUGACCCUGCAGACCAAGUCCUGCAGCACCUCCACUACCACCAGG
rnacentral:lncRNA from 1 species